AGAGUUUGAUCAUGGCUCAGAUUGAACGCUGGCGGCAGGCCUAACACAUGCAAGUCGAGCGGUAGCACAGAGAGCUUGCUCUCGGGUGACGAGCGGCGGACGGGUGAGUAAUGUCUGGGAAACUGCCUGAUGGAGGGGGAUAACUACUGGAAACGGUAGCUAAUACCGCAUAACGUCGCAAGACCAAAGUGGGGGACCUUCGGGCCUCAUGCCAUCAGAUGUGCCCAGAUGGGAUUAGCUAGUAGGUGGGGUAACGGCUCACCUAGGCGACGAUCCCUAGCUGGUCUGAGAGGAUGACCAGCCACACUGGAACUGAGACACGGUCCAGACUCCUACGGGAGGCAGCAGUGGGGAAUAUUGCACAAUGGGCGCAAGCCUGAUGCAGCCAUGCCGCGUGUGUGAAGAAGGCCUUCGGGUUGUAAAGCACUUUCAGCGGGGAGGAAGGCGANNGAUUGACGUUACCCGCAGAAGAAGCACCGGCUAACUCCGUGCCAGCAGCCGCGGUAAUACGGAGGGUGCAAGCGUUAAUCGGAAUUACUGGGCGUAAAGCGCACGCAGGCGGUCUGUCAAGUCGGAUGUGAAAUCCCCGGGCUCAACCUGGGAACUGCAUUCGAAACUGGCAGGCUAGAGUCUUGUAGAGGGGGGUAGAAUUCCAGGUGUAGCGGUGAAAUGCGUAGAGAUCUGGAGGAAUACCGGUGGCGAAGGCGGCCCCCUGGACAAAGACUGACGCUCAGGUGCGAAAGCGUGGGGAGCAAACAGGAUUAGAUACCCUGGUAGUCCACGCCGUAAACGAUGUCGAUUUGGAGGUUGUGCCCUUGAGGCGUGGCUUCCGGAGCUAACGCGUUAAAUCGACCGCCUGGGGAGUACGGCCGCAAGGUUAAAACUCAAAUGAAUUGACGGGGGCCCGCACAAGCGGUGGAGCAUGUGGUUUAAUUCGAUGCAACGCGAAGAACCUUACCUGGUCUUGACAUCCACAGAACUUAGCAGAGAUGCUUUGGUGCCUUCGGGAACUGUGAGACAGGUGCUGCAUGGCUGUCGUCAGCUCGUGUUGUGAAAUGUUGGGUUAAGUCCCGCAACGAGCGCAACCCUUAUCCUUUGUUGCCAGCGGUUAGGCCGGGAACUCAAAGGAGACUGCCAGUGAUAAACUGGAGGAAGGUGGGGAUGACGUCAAGUCAUCAUGGCCCUUACGACCAGGGCUACACACGUGCUACAAUGGCAUAUACAAAGAGAAGCGACCUCGCGAGAGCAAGCGGACCUCAUAAAGUAUGUCGUAGUCCGGAUUGGAGUCUGCAACUCGACUCCAUGAAGUCGGAAUCGCUAGUAAUCGUAGAUCAGAAUGCUACGGUGAAUACGUUCCCGGGCCUUGUACACACCGCCCGUCACACCAUGGGAGUGGGUUGCAAAAGAAGUAGGUAGCUUAACCUUCGGGAGGGCGCUUACCACUUUGUGAUUCAUGACUGGGGUGAAGUCGUAACAAGGUAACCGUAGGGGAACCUGCGGUUGGAUCACCU
rnacentral:rRNA from 1 species